rnacentral:misc_RNA from 1 species
UACAAUAUGUGUUCAAUUGUUCCUCACCUAUCCUUUAUGUUUGAAUCUUACAUUUAGAAAUUGUUUGCAUGUAUUUUAGAAGCAAGCCAAAUAUGGAGAUGCACCACCAAGUGCGAUUGAUCUUUUUAAAGAGUGCCAUUGUAGUAGGAAGACUGGUUUUGCUGAGCCUGUAAAGGAAGCAAUUGACACAAUGGAAGCACUUGUGGCUGAGCCUGGAGUAGAAGGGAAAGAAUCUAAGACCCCUACAGAAGCAGUUGCUCAAGUGUUGUCUUCAUCAAAAUUUCUUUAUAAUAUCGGUCUUGUACCCACCACAAAGAAAAGCUGCAAUGGUGGUGAUCCUACAUGUGUGGCAGAACUUGAGGCUGAACUUGAAUCAGAGAAGCAAAACUCAUUAGAAGUUAGAGCUCAGUUAGAUGCCCUAAAGAAGAAGGUAGAAGAAUCAGAAGAAGCAAGGGCUAAGGAGUUAGAAAAGAUCAAUGAUCUGCAAAAAGGAGCAGAUGAGACCAAUGCUCUCCUUCGUCGUCUCUUUAGCCUCAAUAAGUAGUUGGUCGAUUGUGCCCUGAUUUUGCUGUCCUAUUUGUACUCUGCUUUGCACUCUACUUGAUGCUGGUGAUAAAACAUGAUGAUAGUUUUAAUUUUGAUAUGUCCUUUUGUUAGUGUCCUUAGCACACUACUAGAUGCUGGCGUGAUGAAACAUGGUGAC